CUUUCCCUCGCGCGCAUGCGUCCAGUGACUUCUGGGGGUUUAAGAAACGCAACUGGGCUCAGCCGCCUUAAAGAGACAGGUGUGGCUGCAACCUCAGGGAUGAUGCGCUAGGCAAGCAAGCGGUGAGGAGACCCUAACCAAGUUUCUCGCACCUCCCCUCGUGACCUGGUGGCCAACAGGUCUCAAACUUAGAGAGAGAGAGAGUGCAUGGUGGAAACUGAAACGGAACCGACCGGGCAGCUGACAGUAGUCCUAGAGCCGCCAGCUCCGGUAGCAGAGACCCACGGCAACGCGGCGGAGAGCCAGGGGCCUGAACCCGCGGGACCCGCUGCACUCCAGCGAUGUGUGGGAGACCGGCGCCAGGCCCAACAGCUGGCGCCCCGAGAUCCCCGCACGCCCAUACCCAAAACCCUGUGUGAGACUUGGGCAGGUGGAGCUGAACCCUACAGAGCAGUGAGGACAGAACUCGGAAGGAGUGCCAGGCUGGGCUCUGCCUCCCACUGGCGGCAUCCCGGGGCAGGUGACUGUACCUCUCUGCCCAGACCCUCUCCCCUUCUAGGACUGAGAGAAUGCAAUAGGCAGAAACUUCCUUCCCAGCCAGGCCCCUCAGACACUCCUGGACUCCACAGUGUUGUCAGCCAUGGGUCUGGAAGCCCUGGGCUGAGCAGCUGUGCAUCCAGGUCCUGGGAGACAAGGAGUGCUCCCCCUUUUCACUUGUGCAGCUUAACUGAAAGAAACAGUCCAAGAGUCCAAGAUCAAACCUUCCUCCAGGCACUGUCACAGUAUCCACAGAGGCCAGAAGAGGGCAUUGGAUUCCUUGGAGCUGGAGUUGUGAGCUGCCCGAUGUGAGUGCUGAGAAUCAAACCUGGGUCCUCUGCAAGUGCAGCAAGCAUCCUAACCUGAGCCAUCUCUCCAGCCCCUCCUGGGGAGGCACAUAGCUCACUCCUGAUUGGGCAACAGCAGACCAAAGAAACAGUUCUCCCCAAGUCCAGCAUGAUGAACCAGCGAGUUUACUGAGGCUACUUACAGGAGCAUGGGUGACUUGCUGUUGCACCACUGAAAAGUCCACCCCAGGGUGGCUGCUGACUCCAAAAGCUGUGCAGACAGAAAGCUGUACUCCCUUCAGUUAACCUUCCACCCUGUUACACGUCCUGAGAGCUCCGGUACAGCUGAAGCAGGAUUGCAUGGGGUGGGGUGGAGGGCUACAAUCUCAGGUGAUGAUCUCAUCACCCUCCUCCAACUUCUUUCAGGGAAAGUUUUUGUCUUUGUUUUGAGACAGGGUCUCGCUAUUUGUUCUGGCUGGCCUGGAACUUGAUACGUAGACGAGGCUGGCUUCCAACUCGGAAACCUGUCUGCCUCUACUGGGAUUAGAGGUGUGGGCCACCAUGCCAGCCCCUACCAGGCAAUGUUAAUAGACCCAAUCUUGUGAAACUUC